AUAAAGAAACUGUGUCUUAGUGAGGUUAAGUAUCCAGCAUGACUACAGCUGCAAAGCAGUGGAGCCUGGCUUUGAACUUAGUCCUGUCUGAUCCCAACGCCUUACACAAUUCUACCAUCCCUGUUGUUAAUAUGUGACCUAUUUCAAGUCAUCACCUGCUUCAGAAUUUCACUCUUGAGCCAAAGAAAACAAAAAUUGCAAUUAGAGAUUUCUCUAACCUUGUUAAAGGAGACUAUGCACAGCAAUCCGUAAACUCAGUGCCUCCAAAUUCCUGCUGCUUAGCACAUGAUCUUCCUUUCUGAAGAAAACCUUCUUUCUUCUCUCUGGAGGACAGAUAUCGAUGUUGCAGGUCACCUUCUGAAAAGCCAUCUCUUGAUCCCUCUCAGUUCUGCAAAGGAAAGAUGAAACCUACUUGAGAACAUUCAAAGAAAAUGGUGAAGAUACAGAAUUACACCAAAAGGCCACAUGUUCAUUAGGAUGGAGAAUAAAAUCACAGUGUGUCUCAAGAUCUAUUUAAAACUCCAUUCUAUAUUUACAUAUGAAUACUUGCUUUUUCUCUGAUUUUUUUCUUACAGCAUAAAAUAAUUUUGAGAUGAUUCUGAAUGUUUUAAGUUAAAGAAUUAAGAGCACAAGAAUCCUUUAUAGUUCACAUAAGCACACACGCACACAUACACACAUACUAACACACAUUUAUUUCUCUUUCUAAUCCACAUUUGUUAGUCAACAGUAUAGAUGAUGAAAAGAAUAUCCUCCCUCAUUAUAUCAAAUAGCUCCACCAGCUUGGCUAUGAAUUUUACCCUGAAAUAAGCAACAUACACACACACAUGCACACAUGCAUACAUCCUUCUUUCUUUAAGUAGAAAACAGCCCUAAUUUUGAUUCAAUUCAAUAAAAUAUACUGUUACAAGAUUAAGAAAUAAUUGAACAGUAGUUUUGAGAGUUAAUAAUGCAAAAUCAAUAUAUUAUACUUUUCUUACUGCCCGUGAUGUAAUAUUUAGCAAACCAGUAUUUAUUAUUGGACUAAUGGUAACACAAUUGACAACACACUGGGAUAAAUGAAUAUGUUUAGUUAUAUAAGUUAUGGGAAUUUCCUGUCAUACGAGUACACCCACUUCAAUUUGAGCUCUACUGGAAAAAUCAAUGCUUAGAAAAUGCAAAAGGGAAACAAUGACUACAACAAUUUUUUAAAUGUCUAAGAUAUUAUUACAUGGUUAUUUUUUUGUAAGCAAAACUGAAUAAGAAUAGCUUUAUUUCCUAGAAAAAGCUAGAUAUACUCCUAAAAUAAAGUUGCAUAUGAUUUAAAAGUAGAUUCUCAUUCAUCUGUGUUCUCUGGCCUUUAUUAACAUUAAGUAAAAUAUGUAAUAAUUUGAAAGUAAAAAUUGAAGAGUUCAACUUUAAAACGAAAAUACCUCGAAAUAAAAUCCUUUCUCCCCAUG